GGUUGAUCCCGCCGGAUCGCAUGGUCUGGCAGGUAAAUGGUUGGGAUCCUUCGGGACCUUCUGCUCGGGGAGGUGGUUGCGGCCUAUCAGCUUGUUGGUGGGGUAAUGGCCCACCAAGGCGACGACGGGUAGCAGGCCUGAGAGGGUGGUCUGUCACACUGGGACUGAGACACUGCCCAGACUCCUACGGGAGGCUGCAGUCGAGAAUCUUCCGCAAUGGGCGAAAGCCUGACGGAGCGACGCCGCGUGGAGGACGAAGGCCUUCGGGUUGUAAACUCCUGUCACGGGUUAUGAACCACGUGCCGUGAAUAGCGGUACGUCUGACGUAAGCCCGAAAGGAAGCACCGGCUAACUCUGUGCCAGCAGCCGCGGUAAUACAGAGGGUGCAAACGUUGUUCGGAAUCACUGGGCAUAAAGGGCACGUAGGCGGCGAUGUAAGUGUGGAGUGAAAUCCCACGGCUCACCCGUGGAACUGCUUCGCAAACUGCAUGGCUCGAGGAUGGUAGGGGAGAGCAGAACUCCUGGUGGAGCGGUGAAAUGCGUAGAUAUCAGGAGGAAUACCGGUGGCGAAGGCGGCUCUCUGGUCCAUUUCUGACGCUGAGGUGCGAAAGCUAGGGUAGCGAACGGGAUUAGAUACCCCGGUAGUCCUAGCCGUAAACGAUGGGCACUAGUUUGGGGACGCCCUGUGUGUUCCCAGGUGAAGCAAAUGUGCUAAGUGCCCCGCCUGGGGAGUAUAGUCGCAAGGCU
rnacentral:rRNA from 1 species